GUCUCUGUGGCGCAACUGGUUAGCGCGUUCGGCUGUUAACCGAAAGGUUGGUGGUUCAAGCCCACCCAGGGACG